GGACAUAACCAGGGGUGCUCCGUUCAGGGGCUGAGAUGCGCAACCGCGCGAACCCUUCACAGCUGAUCUGGAUAAUACCAGCGGAGCGAGGAGCCAGCAUGUUCAU
rnacentral:ncRNA from 2 species